GACGAACGCUGGCGGCGUGCUUAACACAUGCAAGUCGAGCGGGGUCCAACUUGUCGCAAGACAAGGGAAGGCCUAGCGGCGAACGGGUGAGUAACACGUGAGGAACCUGCCCCGAAGACUGGGAUAACACCGGGAAACCGGUGCUAAUACCGGAUACCCACCAGAGAUCGCAUGGUCUUUGGUGGAAAUGGAUUCCGCUUCGGGAGGGCCUCGCGGCCUAUCAGCUUGUUGGCGGGGUAACGGCCCACCAAGGCGACGACGGGUAGCUGGUCUGAGAGGACGGCCAGCCACACUGGGACUGAGACACGGCCCAGACUCCUACGGGAGGCAGCAGGUGGGGAAGUCUUGCUACAAGUGGGACGAAAGCCUGAAGCAGCAACGCCGCGUGCGGGACGAAGGCCU
rnacentral:rRNA from 1 species